GUAGGGAAUAUUGGGCAAUGGUCGGAAGACUGACCCAGCCAUGCCGCGUGCAGGAAGACGGCCCUCUGGGUUGUAAACUGCUUUUAUCUGGGAAGAAAAAGGCCAUGCGUGGCAAAUUGCCGGUACCAGAUGAAUAAGCACCGGCUAACUCCGUGCCAGCAGCCGCGGUAAUACGGAGGGUGCAAGCGUUGUCCGGAUUUAUUGGGUUUAAAGGGUGCGUAGGCGGCUGAUUAAGUCAGCGGUGAAAGACUCCGGCUUAACCGGAGCAGUGCCGUUGAUACUGGUUAGCUUGAGUGUUGGAGGGGUACAUGGAAUUGAUGGUGUAGCGGUGAAAUGCAUAGAUACCAUCAGGAACACCGAUAGCGAAGGCAUUGUACUGGCCAACAACUGACGCUGAUGCACGAAAGUGUGGGGAUCGAACAGGAUUAGAAACCCUAGUAGUCC
rnacentral:rRNA from 1 species